UCUCAAGCGCUAGAAUUUACAGGUGUGUGUGUCACCACAUACAAUAUCCACAGCAGGUUUUUAUAAGAAUGCUCUGCUGUGGACAGCUGUCUCUCCUGGUCCUGUCCAGGUCUUUCAGUGGAAAGGAUGCUUGUGAGAAGACAGGAGAGCAGAUGAUUUCCUUCUGCGCUUCAGAAUAAAGUCUGAGAGGAGGCUGUGCUGAAUCCGUGGAUCCUCUUUAACGUCUUCACAGAUUUCGAGGGGAUAAGGCAGAUGAGUCAGAGGGUAAGAGUGGGGAUGAAGAAGAUGAGGCAGAGGAAGAAGAGGAUCGUAAGGAUGAAGAUGAGGAUUAAGACUGUUGAGAAGGAUCCAGCCUGGAUUCAGAACUCCUCAGCUGGGGAACGGUGGUAAUGAAGUGUUCCCGUAACACAGACUGUUGAGAAGGAUUCAACUGCGUGAAUUCAGAACUCUUCAGCUGGGGAACAGGGUACCCGUAAGUAUAGCUUUACAAGGUAAGUCUGGUCUUGAACUUUCUAACGAAAUUCAAGACAGUCUAUCAGAAGUAAAGUGGGAAAUAGCUUUACAAGGUAUGUUUGGCCUUGAACUUUCUCUAGUGUUAGGAGCCUUUUUGUUCCUUUUCACAUGUUAUCAAGUGGUUAAGGCAGGGCUGAAAAUUCUGGAUGAAAUUCAGGGCAAUCUAUCAGAAGUAAAGCGGGGAGAGAGAGUAGAAGCAAAGAGGAAAUAUGGCGCACAAAAUAAGUAUACAGGCCUUUCCACGGGUCUUGAACCCGAGGAAAAGUUUAGGUCAGAUAAGAAUACCUGGGGAGAGAUUAGAAGGAAGGAAAAGAAAAAAGAAAAGAAAAAAG